rnacentral:tRNA from 2 species
UACACAGUAGCUUAAUUAAAGUGCCCGCCUUUCACGCGGGAGAAUGAAGGUCUCAAUCCUUUCUGUGUAU